GCGAGUGCCACCGUUGCAGGGCUAGCCACUCCUGCCCUGAGUAAAAAGAUCAACAGAGGAACCGACUGAACAAUAGAGGAAGGAGAAGUUCUAUAAGACCUUAUCUUUCCCCAUGGACUGUAGCAUUUUCUCACCAAAACCAAGCUUGCGCCAUGGCUCUGAUCUCUCCUAGGGAGAUAAGCACCAGGCCAAGCCUCACUAGAAAAGAGACGGCGCGUGAUUGAGAGUUGAUGGAGGCGGGGAGGAGGAUUGAGCCGGCGCCAUUCUGGGCAUCGGAUCGAAGCGGCGGCGGCGCCCACGAGAGAUAGCGCAAAGAGGAAGGAGACGAUUAGCAGAUCAGCUGACCAUAAGAUAGAAGUAGCAGGAGUCUAGGAUGCCACGAACAGUAACCGGCCAGGUUCAGGCGUCCCCAAGUAUUCAAGAUUGAAUCUGCCUUGGACUUAUUGUUGAGUCGAAUCUUUGAUGUCUUCUAAUUGAUCUUCCAGUUCGGACCCUGUUUGGAGGCUGUCAAGCCUGGCUUUCAUGCCGCGGAAGGUGGGUUCGACUACAAAGGAUAUCACCUUAAGGCUUAAUCAACAAUUGACUACUUGUACUCGAGCGCCGUAGCGACCGCGUUGACCACAUGACCCUGUAUGGGCGGGGCUGAGCUGAAGUAAUGCCAUCUUAAUGUCCUACCUCCCUAGGAGCAGUUGGGGCGACCUCUACUGUAGGCGACCAAUUGCGAUAGAAUGAAUGACAGUUGGAGUUUGACCUCUACUGUAGGCUACCAGCUUGUCAUGGUGGGUAGCUGGUGUCUAUGUUCGCCGGCCAGCUACGCUUUGAGGUAACGGCAGAUGGGAUGGGUGAAAAGGCUUUGUGUUCAUGGUUGUGUUAUCUAAGGCUGAUCCCCUCGAUGCACGACUAUGGGCGUCUGUGGGUAAAGUAACGCACCUCUGCAAAGUGUAUUGAACCGUGGCUUGUCACUCCCUGUUCCGGGUAGGAACUGCGAUCGCGGCGGGAAAGGAAUCCACAGGGGAUUCUAACAACCCAUGAGACAAGGAGAUCAUAGAUUUCUAUAAUAAAACUUGACUCUUUCCUCAGAAUUGUUUUCGAAAAUCAUUGCUUAUUUGGGGACCAAGUGUCCUAGUAGAUCAUAGUGCAUUCAAACAUAUGUUGCUAUCCUGGACUUGUUGAGUACCUUUUGUACUCAUCCCCUAUGUAAACCUCCUUUGUUUAGGUGACUAACUCUUUAAGACAUAAGAGAUGUUCCGCUGAUCGUCAAGAUGGAGACGAGGUAUCUCGUCGAAGGAGAUGCAUUUCAGGAAUAUGUCAUCAAGUGUCUAUACAAUAGUGAGACAGUUAGGCCAUAACUUCCCGUGUUUCUUGUAAUUGUUAGGUUGUAUUUUACUUGUAAAGGUAAUUCCAAUUAUUUAUGCAUAUCGAAUCCACUGCAAUUGUUUAUGUUUACUACUCUGACCGGUAUAUUACUUGCGAAACUUCACGUCACUUGUAAUAUGUCGGGGAUCUGCGUGCUACUGGUUUAGUGGCAUGUCAUGUCGUUACAGUUUUAAACCUUAAUAAUUGUUAUU